ensembl:snoRNA snoRNA:Psi28S-2626 snoRNA:Psi28S-2626
GCGCGUACCCUCGAUAUUUGGGCCUUCCGUGCCAUGGAGCUCAAUCUUCGCCAGGGGACGCAGAACAGUCAGGGCCAAUUACUCGUUAUUGCAGGCAUUAGAAGCCAUUGCGGUCCUGCAUCUCCAAAUAUUGGCCACAGUU